rnacentral:rRNA from 1 species
AGUUUGAUCAUGGCUCAGAACGAACGCUGGCGGCAGGCUUAACACAUGCAAGUCGAACGCCUUCGGGGGAGUGGCAGACGGGUGAGUAACGCGUGGGAAUCUACCCAGUUCUACGGAACAACAGUUGGAAACGACUGCUAAUACCGUAUACGCCCUACGGGGGAAAGAUUUAUCGGAAUUGGAUGAGCCCGCGUAAGAUUAGCUAGUUGGUGGGGUAAUGGCCUACCAAACGAUCUUUAGCUGGUCUGAGAGGAUGAUCAGCCACACUGGGGACUGAGACACGGCCCAGACUCUACGGGAGGCAGCAGUGGGGAAUAUUGGACAAUGGGCGCAAGCCUGAUCCAGCCAUGCCGCGUGAGUGAUGAAGGCCUUAGGGUUGUAAAGCUCUUUCAGUAGGGAAGAUAAUGACGGUACCUACAGAAGAAGCCCCGGCUAACUUCGUGCCAGCAGCCGCGGUAAUACGAAGGGGGCUAGCGUUGUUCGGAUUUACUGGGCGUAAAGCGCACGUAGGCGGUUUGUUAAGUCAGAGGUGAAAUCCCGGAGUCAACUCCAACUGCUUUUGAUACUGGCAAGCUAGAGUCCGGAAGAGGUAAGUGGAACUCCUAGUGUAGAGGUGGAAUUCGUAGAUAUU